GAAUCCAUCUUUGUCCGGGAUUAAAAUUUUUUUUCACGCUGCUGUCGGUACUGUUUUGCCAACAUUUAUUUACCGUAUAGUGUGAAUGGAUCCACGUUUCGUCAAGGUAGGUAACAGGUUUUUUAUCUGCACCAAGAUUAUUAUUUUCUUUCAUUCGGCGCAGGUAGCGAGCCCUCCAAGCGGCAAUAUCUGGCUUUUGAAUAAGCACCGUACGGGCAUUUUUGCAUUUUUUGAAUUUAUAUCCCAACUGGUCUAUUAAUAUUUUUCUUAAGAAAGAUUUUUCGCCCUUAAAAUUUAAAUCUCUUUUAGCGACUGCCAGGAUUUUCUUUAAUGUAGGGAUUUCUUUUCGGACAGUAUAAAAACUGAUAAUAAUAUUCCUUAUAGCACAGAUGUCGAAAUUAUCAAUUUCAAUUUUCUUGUUGUAUCGCUUUCGCUUCUUACCCGGUGUUGACAAUUUUAUCUCCCUGCUUGGAUUGUCGUUGCUCGUACUUGGGCUAGUACUCGAUGAAGCAGUCGGCGGUGCAUGACGUGAUUCUUUUACCUCCUUUUUUAUAUUCAUCAAAGUUGAUUUUGAUAUUCCAGUUGCAGCACAGGUUCGUUUGACAACUUGAUCUACAGGUAUGGCGAAUUGCUUGUUAGCUUUCUCUAAUUCGAAAAAUUUCAUCACCUUAAGGAUUAAAUUCCUUGCUUCACUGUGAAUAGUUUUUCCCAUAUUUUUGGAGUAGAAGUGCACGUCAAACUAAUAACUAAAUAAAGUCCAAACUUAACCGUAAAUGUCCAAACGUAACAACAACAACAGUUCAAAUAUAACAAUAAGUCCAAACGUAACACAAAAAUGUUCAAAAAUAAAGCAAUGAUAGCACGAAAAUAUCAAGACGCGUAUCGGCAACGAAAUUGCUAACCGUACUGACGCGCCGGGGCGAGCGCGAGGUGGUGAAAGGGGAACGGGGAGGGGCUUCACAUUCCAGCGAGGUCCAGAGAUAAUGUAACCGGGUAGUAGCUGUGAGUAGUUGAGUACGCUCUAUCUAUGGGUACGCUAGCUCCGACCGAACCAAUGAAACAAUCAGUCGUGAACCAAGUGUUUUGGAGAGAAGUGCUUGUGGUUUAUGUGUGUGUGUACGACGACGUCUUUGAACGAUAUGGUUGCGCUUAUGUAUGGUGCGGUCGCUUUUAUGUGACCUUUUCAAUUUGGUCGGCUCAUUAGAGAAUUGCUGACAUAAUCUUGUUUUUGAGAUAACUUUCAUUAGAGCCGUAAUUCAAAGCUGCAAUUAACAGGAAGGAAUUUUCAGGAAUCAUUUUAAUUUGUUUAAAGUAUGCCAUGUUUCUUAAUGUUAUGGGAACUGCGUAUUUGAUCGCUAAAGUACGACCAGUCUAAAAUAAAUCAAAUUUGUUUUUAUCUUCUUAAUGUGUAAAGUAUGAAAUCUAAUAUUUCUGAUGUAAACAAGCGUCGAACCACGGGUAUUUUUUACAGCUGUUUAUUUGGUUAUAAGUGUAUUGGUUUACAUGUAAACCCGCUUCUUCUGAUUUUUGAAACCAUUUAAUUACAUUGGUUUACGUCAACCAAAUCAAAAACUAAUGAUUAAACAAAUUUAAACAAA